rnacentral:rRNA from 1 species
GAUGAACGCUAGCUACAGGCUUAACACAUGCAAGUCGAGGGGUAACGAGAGGAAAGCUUGCUUUCCUUGUCGACGACCGGCGCACGGGUGAGUAACGCGUAUCCAACCUGCCCCCAACUAGGGAAUAACCUUGCGAAAGUAAGACUAAUACCCUAUAAUUUCCUCAGAUGUCAUCUGACGAGGAAUAAAGAUUUAUCGGUUGUGGAGGGGUAUGCGUCUGAUUAGCUUGUUGGCGGGGUAACGGCCCACCAAGGCAACGAUCAGUGGGGGUUCUGAGAGGAAGGUCCCCCACAUUGGAACUGAGACACGGUCCAAACUCCUACGGGAGGCAGCAGUGAGGAAUAUUGGUCAAUGGGCGGAAGCCUGAACCAGCCAAGUAGCGUGCAGGAUGACGGCCCUAUGGGUUGUAAACUGCUUUUAUACAGGAAUAAAGUUAGCCACGUGUGGUUAUUUGUAGGUACUGUAUGAAUAAGGACCGGCUAAUUCCGUGCCAGCCGCCGCCGUAA